rnacentral:rRNA from 1 species
AGCGAACGCUGGCGGCAUGCUUAACACAUGCAAGUCGCACGAAUUCCUUCGGGGGUUAGUGGCGGACGGGUGAGUAUCGCGUAGGGAUUUAUCGUUGGGUGGGGGAUAACCUUGGGAAACUGGGGCUAAUACCGCAUGACGCCUGAGGGCCAAAGUUUCGGCGCCUGACGAGAAGCCUGCGUCCGAUUAGGUAGUUGGUUGGGUAAUGGCUGACCAAGCCUUCGAUCGGUAGCUGGUCUGAGAGGAUGAUCAGCCACACUGGGACUGAGACACGGCCCAGACACCUACGGGUGGCAG